UACGUAGGGGGCAAGCGUUGUCCGGAAUCAUUGGGCGUAAAGAGCGUGUAGGCGGUCCGGUAAGUCGGCUGUGAAAGUCCAGGGCUCAACCCUGGGAUGCCGGUCGAUACUGCGGGCUAGAGUCGGAAGAGGCGAGUGGAAUUCCCGGUGUAGCGGUGAAUGCGCAGAUAUCGGAGGAACGACCUACGUGGCGAAGGCAG
rnacentral:rRNA from 1 species